UUUUUGAAUCAAGUAAUCAGUGGGGCACAAGAUAGACAGUAGAAAGGGCAUUUGUAUCUAGAAUGUCCGGCAUGCGGUUGUUUUGAUAUUUAUGAAGAAGUAGACAAGUCCGGUUGCAAAAACUAAAUUCUUGAUUAUAUUGUUCCACGAAGCCGUCGUGUUGGUUCACGAUGAAAUUAUCGGGUCUGGUCUACUUUGAUUUCCCAAUAUGAAAAGCGUAUGAUAGCAGCUGCUAACGCUACAUUGUUUGAUUUUACUUUCUUAUGGACAAAAAUGUUUUAUUCACGAUAUGUUUAUACGAAUGAUGAUAUAGUUGGCUGCAUAUCGGAAUCCCGAUGGUAAAAAGGCUUGAUAAUAGACGCAAUCUCCUCUUUUUGGUCUGUGCUGAUGUUUUAUUUAUUGUACCCUCUUAUUUUUGUACUUUAUGACAACUAAAUUUAUAUAGAUAUCUUGAUACAGUUGUCAGAACAUUAUUCGAGUCAUUAUAUACCUGUAUGCAAUUCGCUGUAUUUUAUCUCUCAAUAUUUGCAGAAAAGUAGAAUUAUAACAUUACCAUAUUUUAAACUAAAAUACAUAUUUACUUUGACCAAAGCACAAUGCCGUGAUUCGGUAGUUACCAAAUAAAAAAGUUGUCACAAACUAACUUUUGUUCAUCAAAUGCUGCAUUUUGUACCAUAUGGUUUCCAAAAAGAAGAUGAAACUUGAUGAAACGAAGUUGAACGAAGUUGAAACAAACAAAACAUCUGAAGGUACAGUUUCAAUUCUAUAUUGGUAUGACGUUCUCAAAUUCUUCAAAUAUCGAAGAGCAAUCACUGCUUAAAAGAAUACAGUGCUUGCAUAACGUAAAAGCAACUAAGGUUAUUGAUUAUAAAACUUUUUCUUAUUUGUAAAGCAGAAUUUAUUUGCAGAUAACAAGUUUUCUUUUGGUAACAGUAAUCUGUCUCUUUUUCCUCCAAUUCUUGAGUUCCAAGAAUAAAAAAUGUAAAUAUAGAUUCA